UACGGAGGAUGCAAGCGUUAUCCGGAUUUAUUGGGUUUAAAGGGUGCGCAGGUUGUUUGAUAAGUCAGUGGUGAAAGUCUGUCGCUUAACGGUAGGAUUGCCAUUGAUACUGUUAGACUUGAAUAUGGAUGAGGUAGGCGGAAUGUGUAGUGUAGCGGUGAAAUGCAUAGAUAUUACACAGAACACCGAUUGCGAAGGCUGCUUACUAAUCCAUCAUUGACGCUGAGGCUCGAAAGCGUGGGGAGCAAACAGGA
rnacentral:rRNA from 1 species